rnacentral:rRNA from 1 species
GAUGAACGCUGGCGGCGUGCCUAAUACAUGCAAGUCGAGCGAACGGACGAGAAGCUUGCUUUUCUGAUGUUAGCGGCGGACGGGUGAGUAACACGUGGAUAACCUACCUAUAAGACUGGGAUAACUUCGGGAAACCGGAGCUAAUACCGGAUAAUAUUUUGAACCGCAUGGUUCAAAAGUGAAAGACGGUCUUGCUGUCACUUAUAGAUGGAUCCGCGCUGCAUUAGCUAGUUGGUAAGGUAACGGCUUACCAAGGCAACGAUGCAUAGCCGACCCGAGAGGGGGAUCGGCCACACUGGAACUGAGACACGGUCCAGACUCCUACGGGAGGCAGCAGUAGGGAAUCGUCCGCAAUGGGCGAAAGCCUGACGGAGCAACGCCGCGUGAGUGAUGAAGGUCUUCGGAUCGUAAAACUCUGUUAUUAGGGAAGAACAUAUGUGUAAGUAACUGUGCACAUCUUGACGGUACCUAAUCAGAAAGCCACGGCUAACUACGUG